rnacentral:rRNA from 1 species
UACGGAGGAUCCAAGCGUUAUCCGGAUUUAUUGGGUUAAAAGGGUGCGUAGGCGGCUUAUUAAGUCAGGGGUGAAAGACGGUGGCUCAACCAUCGCAGUGCCCUUGAUACUGAUGAGCUUGAAUACACUUGAGGUAGGCGGAAUGUGACAAGUAGCGGUGAAAUGCAUAGAUAUGUCACAGAACACCAAUUGCGAAGGCAGCUUACUAAGGUGCAAUUGACGCUGAGGCACGAAAGCGUGGGGAUCAAACAGG